rnacentral:rRNA from 1 species
AGUGAACGCUGGCGGCAGGCCUAACACAUGCAAGUCGAGCGGCAGCGCGGGGGCAACCCUGGCGGCGAGCGGCGGACGGGUGAGGAAUACAUCGGAAUCUGCCUUGUUGUGGGGGAUAACGUAGGGAACUUACGCUAAUACCGCAUGAGACCGUAAGGUGAAAGUGGGGGAUCGCAAGACCUCACGCGACAAGAUGAGCCGAUGUCGGAUUAGCUAGUUGGUGAGGUAAAGGCUCACCAAGGCAACGAUCCGUAGCUGGUCUGAGAGGAUGAUCAGCCACACUGGGACUGAGACACGGCCCAGACUCCUACGGGAGGCAGCAGUGGGGAAUAUUGGACAAUGGGCGCAAGCCUGAUCCAGCCAUGCCGC